CAUCCCGUCCCGAGAUUAUAAAAAUGUACGUGUGAAUUUACGAUUUUACCCCCUAGUUCGUUACUUUACGUGUAGUUUUGUGUUGUGUGGUGUUGUAGGACCACACCCACACUCAUACACUCUCUUUCUCUCCCGGGAUUCCCUCACUCUCUGUCUCUUCUCUGUCUCUUCUCUCUCUCUCUCUCCCAAGCUCUAUUCAUUCUUCUUCUUCCUUAUGAAAACGUACGGACAACACACACAUCACCCAAACCUUGAUGGAUCGAAGGAACCAAGGGCAUUUUUGGACUCGUGAAGCUCGUACGAGUGCAACCAUACCAUUUUCAGGACUUUUCAAGCUUAUAGGAAGCUUCUUGAGGUCCUAAGGAGGCUUGGAGUAGUUCGUUGGAAGUUUUUGGACGUAAGAACACGAAGAACAACAAGCUCAAAGUUUGGCCGGAGCUUUCGAGGCUUUUUCCGGCGAAUCCACGGCUAUUUAGGGGUCAAGGCAGGUGAAAAAUUAUACAGAGGAAGAAUGUAACCAAUCUAGGGGAGGCUCAGGAACCUACGAGACGUCGAUAUAAUCUGUUCAAGUAUAUGCAAAGGUGUGGUGACUACGAGGAAAAUUCAACGGUGUUCUGACAGAAUGGACCAAAUGAGGACUCACCUUCGGGUGGUUCAUCUUAGAAAUUGUAUAUUUUUAAAGCUUCCGAACUGUGUAAAUGGUUACGUCACUCUCACGUGACUGCCAGCAUGCCCUCCUUCGGGACGGGGUGUGUCAUUUAUAUUCUGGAGUUAGGAACCAAAUUUUAACAAUAUUUUAGGUCUCACUACUAUAUUUUUCACUUAUUUUUUUUA